rnacentral:misc_RNA from 1 species
GAUGAAGAACGUAGCAAAAUGCGAUAAGUAAUGUGAAUUGCAGAAUUCAGUGAAUCAUCGAAUCUUUGAACGCACAUUGCGCCCGCCAGUAUUCUGGCGGGCAUGCCUGUUCGAGCGUCAUUUCAACCCUCAAGCUCAGCUUGGUGUUGGGACUCGCGGUAACCCGCGUUCCCCAAAUCGAUUGGCGGUCACGUCGAGCUUCCAUAGCGUAGUAAUCAUACACCUCGUUACUGGUAAUCGUCGCGGCCACGCCGUAAAACCCCAACUUCUGAAUGUUGACCUCGGAUCAGGUAGGAAUACCCGCUGAACUUAAGCAUAUCAAUAAGCGGAGA